rnacentral:rRNA from 1 species
GACGAACGCUGGCGGCGUGCUUAACACAUGCAAGUCGAACGAAGAGCGAUGGACGCUUGCUUCUAUCAAUCUUAGUGGCGAACGGGUGAGUAACGCGUAAUCAACCUGCCCUUCAGAGGGGGACAACAGUUGGAAACGACUGCUAAUACCGCAUACGAUCUAAUCUCGGCAUCGAGGAUAGAUGAAAGGUGGCCUCUACAUGUAAGCUAUCACUGAAGGAGGGGAUUGCGUCUGAUUAGCUAGUUGGAGGGGUAACGGCCCACCAAGGCGAUGAUCAGUAGCCGGUCUGAGAGGAUGAACGGCCACAUUGGGACUGAGACACGGCCCAGACUCCUACGGGAGGCAGCAGUGGGGAAUCUUCCGCAAUGGACGAAAGUCUGACGGAGCAACGCCGCGUGAGUGAUGACGGCCUUCGGGUUAUAAAGCUCUGUUAAUCGGGACGAAAGGCCUUCUUGCGAAUAGUGAGAAGGAUUGACGGUACCGGAAUAGAAAGCCACGGCUAACUACGUG